AUUGAACGCUGGCGGCAGGCCUAACACAUGCAAGUCGAGCGGAUGAAGGGAGCUUGCUCCUGGAUUCAGCGGCGGACGGGUGAGUAAUGCCUAGGAAUCUGCCUGGUAGUGGGGGAUAACGUCCUGAAACGAGCGCUAAUACCGCAUACGUCCUGAGGGUGAAAGUGGGGGAUCGUCGGACCUCACGCUAUCAUAUGAGCCUAGGUCGGAUUAGCUAGUUGGUGGGGUAAAGGCCUACCAAGGCGACGAUCCGUAACUGGUCUGAGAGGAUGAUCAGUCACACUGGAACUGAGACACGGUCCAGACUCCUACGGGAGGCAGCAGUGGGGAAUAUUGGACAAAGGGCGAAAGCCUGAUCCAGCCAUGCCGCGUGUGUGAAGAAGGUCUUCGGAUCGUAAAGCACUUUAAGUUGGGAGGAAGGGCAGUAAGUUAAUACCUUGCUGUUUUGACGUUACCAACAGAAUAAGCACCGGCUAACUUCGUG
rnacentral:rRNA from 1 species